ACUGAAACACUGGUUCCUGUACAAUCACCAAAGUUAAACAAUCUUGAACCUGGUCAGUACCUAAAUGGGUGACCACUUGGGAAUACCAAGUACUGUAGG